ACAAAAAGACAACUUUUGCUCUUAUUCAGAGGCAGCACCUACCCUCCAACAUUUUGCAGAUGAAAACCAGGGCACAAGCAGCCAAAGAACAUCAGUUUGUUCAAGAUGGCAACGGUUAUUAAUGAGGAAGAACACACAAAUUAGGAGAGGCUGCAACAGUUUGUCGGAGUCCACUGGAAAGGGAGAUGCAGUGGGGCAAAGCCCAGAAGGUCUCCUGGAACAGGGGCUUACAUGGAACCUUGGCCUCCUACAAUUCCCCACGUGUACCAUGUAGCAUUAAUGAAAAAGGAUGCUAUCUCCUGGUUCAAGAGAGAAGCUGGAGAAACAAGCCACAAUUGGGUUCAGACACAACAAACCACUGCUUAAUUAUGCCAAAGAUAAACCAAUAACCACCCAAGGCUUCUAAUUGUAGUUUACAGCUAGCUAACAAACAAUGGUUUGCCUCAUGGAUAGAUUUGGACACAACAACAAUCCAGGAUUCAACCAACCACAAUCUGACUUACUAUUACAUAUGAAUCCACCUAUACACACCCAUGUGCUAAAUGUAACAAACAAACAAACAGUUUAUUCAUGACAACCAAAUACAGGUUAUAGACAUCAAAUUACAAAAAUAAUUAAAACCCUUUAAAACUUCCACAGUCAGUUAGUUCUAUAACAUAUAGAGCGAUAUGUUUACACUAAAAUUAUAAAAAAUAUUUCAUACAAAAACAUAUCACAAUUUUCCAUACUGCAUUCAAAUGUUUACUGCAGAUUUCCAUGCAGGCCUUUAUCCUCAAAGUCUAAUCUAAGUUUAGCUGCUCUCACAGCAAAUCUAGCAGUGUUGAACAUAACAGACUUAGUUGUAUCAGCUAACAAGUAGGUGAUUUUCUUCAAGUCAUUUUGGUUAGCUACAAGUUCUAAGCUUCUCUUGAGAAACUUAUCUCUUGGGGUUUUAUAUAUCUUACAAUAUAGCAUAUAGUGUAUGGUGUCUUCAAUAUCCCCACUUCCACAAAUGCAAGUACGCUGCUCCUUGGGAAUCUUUUUAUAUUUCCUUU